rnacentral:rRNA from 1 species
AUGCCUUACACAUGCAAGUCGAACGGUAACAGGUCUUCGGAUGCUGACGAGUGGCGAACGGGUGAGUAAUACAUCGGAACGUGCCCGAUCGUGGGGGAUAACUAUCCGAAAGGAUAGCUAAUACCGCAUACGAUCUGCGGAUGAAAGCGGGGGACCUUCGGGCCUCGCGCGAUUGGAGCGGCCGAUGUCAGAUUAGGUAGUUGGUAGGGUAAAGGCUCACCAAGCCAACGAUCUGUAGCUGGUCUGAGAGGACGACCAGCCACACUGGGACUGAGACACGGUCCUGACUCCUACGGGAGGCAGCAGUGGGGAAUUUUGGACAAUGGGCGAAAGCCUGAUCCAGCCAUGCCGCGUGCAGGAUGAAGGCCUUCGGGUUGUAAACUGCUUUUGUACGGAACGAAACGGCUCUGGUUAAUACCUGGGGCUAAUGACGGUACCGUAAGAAUAAGCACCGGCUAACUACGUGCCAGCAGCCGCGGUAAUACGUAGGGUGCGAGCGUUAAUCGGAAUUACUGGGCGUAAAGCGUGCGCAGGCGGUUAUAUAAGACAGAUGUGAAAUCCCCGGGCUCAACCUGGGAACUGCAUUAGUGACUGUAUAGCUAGAGUGCGGCAGAGGGGGAUGGAAUUCCGCGUGUAGCAGUGAAAUGCGUAGAUAUGCGGAGGAACACCGAUGGCGAAGGCAAUCCCCUGGGCCUGCACUGACGCUCAUGCACGAAAGCGUGGGGAGCAAACAGGAUUAGAUACCCUGGUAGUCCACGCUGUAAACGAUGAGUGCUAGGUGUUGGGUAGCGAUAUUCAGUGCCGAAGUUAACACAAUAAGCACUCCGCCUGGGGAGUACGGUCGCAAGACUGAAACUCAAAGGAAUUGACGGGGACCCGCACAAGCAGCGGAGCAUGUGGUUUAAUUCGAAGCAACGCGAAGAACCUUACCAAGGUUUGACAUCCCCUUGACAGAUGCAGAGAUGUGUCCUCCCCUUCGGGGGCAAGGGAGACAGGUGGUGCAUGGUUGUCGUCAGCUCGUGUCGUGAGAUGUUGGGUUAAGUCCCGCAACGAGCGCAACCCUUAUCCUUAGUUGCCAGCAAGUUAAGUUGGGCACUCUAAGGAGACUGCCGAUGAUAAAUCGGAGGAAGGUGGGGAUGACGUCAAAUCAUCAUGCCCCUUAUAUCUUGGGCUACACACGUGCUACAAUGGUCGGUACAAAGGGCAGCGAAGGAGUGAUCUGGAGCAAAUCCCAAUAAACCGAUCCCAGUUCGGAUUGUAGGCUGCAACUCGCCUACAUGAAGUCGGAAUCGCUAGUAGUCGCGAAUCAGAACGUCGCGGUGAAUACGUUCCCGGGU